UUGUCGGAAGUGAACCCGGUCCGUGACUCCCGGAAGUGGAGCGCCCACAGCAGUGCGGCCCCAGCAGUUUCCGUGGCCGGUGUUUGUCUGGAGGUUCCAAGCAAUCUUCUGAGAUGGCGAACGCAGCCGCAGCUACAGCGGCGGUCUCCACUCUAGCUCCGCCUUUGGAGCAGAUCCGCCACUUGGCAGAGGAGCUGCGGUUGCUCAUGCCUGGAGUGCGCGUCGGCGAAGCCCAGGAGACCACCAAGGAGUUUAAUUCUGAGACGUUUUGGAGGAAACUCCAUGAGGCAGCUGUGAACGUGUCAAGGGAAGCCACGACUCUGACCGAAGUCUUCACUCGUCUUCCACUGCCCUCUCCGCAGGAAACACAGAGGUUCUGUGAACAAGUCCAUGCUGCCAUCAAGGCAAUGAUUUCAGUAUACUAUUCACUUCCCAAGGAUCAGGGAAUCACUCUGAGAAAGCUGGUACGGAGCGCCACUCUGGACAUCGUAGAUGGCAUGGCUCAACUCAUAGAUGUGCUUUCCAUGACUCCAACUCAGAGCCCAGAGAACAAUGACCUUAUUUCCUACAACAGUGUCUGGACUGCAUGCCAGCAGGUGUCUCAGAUACCAAAAGAUAACAAAGCUGCAGCCCUUUCAAUGCUGACAAAGAGUGUGGAUCUUGUGAAGGAUGCACAUGAAGAAAUGGAGCAGGCCAUGGAAGAAUGUGACCCAUACUGUGACCUUUUGAAUGACACUGAGGACAACUCUGAUAACCACGGUGAUGAAGAGAAUGAUGGGUUGGGGUAUCCAAAUAAUCGGGACUUAUAUUGGUCAGAGGAAGAUCAAGAGCUGAUAACCCCAUGCCUUGCACUGGUGAGAGCAUCAAAGGCCUGCCUGAAGAAAAUCCGGAUCUCAGUGGCAGAGAACGGGAAGAAGGAUCAGGUGGCCCAACUGGACGACAUUGUGGAUAUCUCUGAUGAGAUCAGUCCUAGUGUGGAUGAUUUGGCUCUGAGCAUAUACCCACCUAUGUGCCACAUGACUGUGCGAAUCAGUUCUGCAAAACUUGUAUCGGUCUUAAAGAAGGCACUUGAAAUUACUAAAGCAAGUCAUGUGACCCCACAGCCAGAAGAUAGUUGGAUCCCUUUACUCAUUAAUGCCGUUGAUCACUGCAUGAACAGAAUCAAGGAACUCACUCACAAUGAACUUGGACUGAUAUGGUGGACACAGUGAGAGAAGAGAUAACGAAAGAAGAUUCCUGCAACAUACUGAAACCAACGAGGAACUAAUAUAGGUAACACCUACAAAUCAACAAAGAGAAAAGCCAGGAACACAAAAGAAAAGUGGACAAAGUUUCCCUUUUGCAGAGAAAAUGAAGCCAUCCUUUAUCCUUAAGGAAUCAUCUCAAGCUCAUGUUCCCAUUCUCAACCUUAUCAACAUAGACCUCUACCCCUGCUGCCACCAUCCCCCCGGAAGAUGAGGUGUCCUCCCUCCCCACAUCAAACCUCCACUUUUGAGGACAUUUGCUGAUUCCCAACUGGCAGAUGAUAGUCUGAGAAUCUGAGCAGAUCUUCUGGCAAUCUCACAGGGCUGGAGGAUAUAAAUUGGAGUUCCAGGGCCACCAGGGAUGAAGGGCCCCAAUAAACACCCCCAGGUUUUCAAUCAGGACUCCUGAAGGACUAUACCCAGGAAUAAAGAAUUGAAACUUGAACUGCCCUCUACUCCCUCACCUCAGGCUCUGCUCCUGAACUUGAAACUUGAGCCUCUAUGGAGACCUUGCUGCUUGUGGACACAUGUCCAACCGAGCUUGUGUUUCAGUCUUCCCCAUCUUCCUUGCCAGUCGACAACAUCAUCAUCAUCAUCAUCAUCAUCAUCAUCAUCAUAGUGUCAGACAUGGUGCCAAGCAUUUGCAUGGGCAUGAUCUCAUUUAAUCAUCUCCAAAACCCUGUGUUAUCCGAUUUUAAAGAGGAGAAACCUGAAGCGUAGUGAGGCUGAGGUCACAUGGCAGAAGGAGGAGAGCCAGGGAAGAAUUUAAGCUCCCAAUUCUCUGAUCUCAAAACAUCUCCAAACUUGUAGCUACAAGACACAGCACUACAACUUCACUAGGCAUCACCGCACCAAAUCAUUCUCAAUGCACUUUCCUCUGUCAAGUUUCCACUGACUACUUCAUGCCACAUUAACCUCCCUUCUCAUGCUCUCACUUAAUCCCAAUCACUUGUGCCUCAUGUUUUAUCACUCGAUGGAGCUCUCUGUGAUCUGUGUUUGUCUUAUCUUGUCAGCCAGAUUACAAAUCCCCCUAGAGCAGGAUUCAUAUCAGAUGGUUUUCUUGAUAUUUCUUUGUUUCCAACAUAGUGCUGGGCACAGAGUAGAUGCUCAUUAAAUCUGUGUUGACAUGUGUUGUCUUUAACCUAUGAAUAACGUGUCUGAAGACUAUCAGUCCUAAUGAGUCACAGUUUGACUUGAGGCUCGGGUGACUCAUUGGUAAUUUGGGGAGGGGGACUGAGUCCCUCAUAAAAGGGAGGUAUGUGCGUUUGUGUGUGUGCACACACAUGCACGCACCCUCACACAGGCAUGCUUAGACAAAGUUGGACCAAAUCUCAGGGUCAGAAAAGGGCUGCAGAGUUCCCAAGGUAUAUCAUACCACACCACACUCCCAGAAUGAAUUACUAUGUCUCCUCACUCAGUCAUUCAGCACUCAUCCAGUGACUCAUGUCAAGCCCCUGUGAUUAACCAGGCAAUGGGUUAUAUGCAUACACAAAAAUGAAAGACAUCCCUGUCCUCAAGGAGUGCAGCUUCACUUUUGACUGGUGAUGGACAUCAUCCUGAUGGAGUAUUAAAACAUGGAGUCUGUUUCAGGACUGGCUGUGAAGUCUUCUCACCAGUUCUUUUCCCUCCCCUGCCACCUACCAACUCCCCAUGUGGAAAUGUGGCUCCAAUUUUAAAAGAUAAAUCAGUGAAAAGUUAAAGUUAAAUUUGUUGAAAUAGACUUGGUCAGUUUUGCUGCCACACUUCCAUGGCUUAUACUGAAGAAUACAGUCAAACUUCAGCUAAUAGAGUUAAAGUGUUUGCAUUUAAAAGUGAUGAUUUUUAGCAUCUUAUAAUUUCUCCCUGGAAGCAUCAAGCUUCCAAAUGGUAAAAGUACCUUCUUCUCCCAUGCCUAUAAUAGUUCCUUAAACCAAGAGGGUCAUAUUGUCUUGGUUUUUCAGAUAUACCUUCACAAGUUCAUGUUAGAACUGUUCUUGCUUGUCUACAAUGAUGAUAAAUCCUAAAACUGCUCUAAAAAAUAAUGUCUAUUAAAAAAAUCACCAGGCAUGCAAAGAAGAAGAAAAAUGUGAUUCAUAACUAGGACAACUGUCAAUCAAUAGAACUAGAUCUAGAAAUAACAGAGAUGAUUGAAUUAGCUGACAGAGACCUUAAAAUAGCUAUUUUAAAUAUUAUAAAUAUGCUCAAGAGGACGUAAAGGAAAAUAUGAACAUAAUAAGAGAAAUGGAAGGUAGAAAGAAGAUCCAGUGGAACUUAUAAAGAUGAAAAAUAUAACAUUUAAAACAAAAACAUAUUGGACAAAAUAUUGCACUAUAACAAUAUCCUUUUUUGGUAAGAGCACAUUUGGAGACAGUGUUACAUAUUAAAAAGGACAGAUACCAUAUGUUUUCACUCAUAAAUCUAACAGG